rnacentral:lncRNA from 1 species
UGGAGAUGUAUGUUGGUGAUAGACUUUCCAAGCGAUUGGAUGAGUAGGAUGAGAAAAAGGAGGAAUCAGGGAUAACUUCUAGGACUCUGGCUGAAGGAAUGAUACCUGAAAGACUAAGGAGAGAGCACGUUUUGGGGAGAUCGAGAGCUCCUUCUUGGACAUGCUGAGACUGGGAUCCUACUAAACAUCUAAGUGGAUAUGUCAGCUCUUUCAUCAAGGAUCGAAGUCAGCCGUCAAAGAAACUCUCACUCCAACUGUCUGAGGGAGAAAAUAGGUCCUGAGGACCUACAGAACCCGAGGGGGACUCCAGAGACCCCAGAGCCAGCCAGCACCAGAUGCUGACCCAAGGCCUGGCUUGGGGAGACCAGCUCUGGGUGCUGACACCUGAAGCAAACCUUUGAGGGUUCCUGGGUACCCAGAUAUUUCUUGUUACAUACCCAACAGGAGAAUGUGUAAAUAAAUUGUGAUAUAUUCACACAGUGGAAUAGCUUAGAGCAAUGAUAAGAAACAGAAUACCGCAUCUCACCACACCAGGUGUCUCAUGAGUGUAACCCUGAGAGAAAGAAGCCAG